rnacentral:lncRNA from 1 species
CUGAAUCCAAAUUCUACUUCUUAAAUAAGAAUUUAAGAAGUAGUGAAACAGCUGAUUCAGUGGAAUAAGCUCAUCUGUAUGUGUUUUAUUGUGCAGAACGUGAUCCAGCUGUAGUCUACUCAACAAUGAGAACUGAAGACGUCAGUUAUGGACAAAUCAUCAUCAAAGACAAGAAGAAAACAUCAAAGAUGAGAGAGAGUGAUCCAGCCACAGUCUACUCUGCAGUGAAAACUGAGGAAUUCAGUUAUGGACAAAGAGUGAUCAGACCAAAGAAGAUUAGAGACUUUAAACCAGAGCCAGACGUCGUCUAUUCUUCACUGAAGUAGUCCACCAGUCAAACCACUGACGUCCAGCUGCUGGUCUCUAACUGGUCUACCAAGCACCUCAGACCAGAGGACAUCCACAUGUUACGGAUUUUUAUAUGUUUUAUGUCUUUUUAUCACUGAAUUAGGAUCACAGGACACAAAAUUACUCCUUUGGGGGAAUUUAUAAACAUGUUUUAUAAAUGCACAUGUCUUUGUAAUAAAAUCCUCUGGUUGCUUUAUGUCCUCAUUAAUUUUACUGUGUUUAUUUUUCUUUGCCGGCUCUUAUUCACAUAAAAAUGAUCUGGGCUUUUUGGAUGAAAGAUGUGAGAAAACUUUUGUUUUGUUUUCCUCAUGUGGUUCUGUGGGUUUGACUGACAUCGCAGAUGGAAAAUUUAAAUACUUCUGGUUUGGUUGUGGCUAACCAAUACACACCUCUCUUCACAGCAGAAACCAAAAUAAACCUCAGACUAAAACAGCACAGGCAUGAUUCAAUGUCAGUAAACUGCACAGAAAAACUUCAGUAUAGGAUGUUUGUGUACAUCUAUAGAAUUUAUUCUUUAUCUUCUUAGCGACCUGGGAAAAAACAACAAUCCGCAUAUGACACUGUAAAAAAAUUGAGCAAAAAUACUAAAAAAUUCUCUGGCAGUAACUAUAAAGAAUGUUUGCUCAUUUUAGGGUUACCAUUAGGUUUAGAUUACCAGCUGUUUUUUUUUUUGGUUUUUUUUUAAAUUAGUGGUCAGACAGUGUGUGGAGUUAGUGUUGAUGAAGCUGUGUGUAAAUGGUGUAGUUUGUCUCUGUGUUGAGGUGGAUCCAAGGGCGUAGAUUUGGUUUUGGCAUUGGUGGGGACAGAUGAUUCAACCACCAAACCCUGCUGUUUCUUUUUUUUUUCUUUUUGUCUUUGCUUCUUAAUAAAAUGAGGAGAAAUAUAUUUGCCUACAUGUACUAUUCUGCAUAGGGCUGGGCCAUAUUAUACCGUUCACGAUAAUACCGGUAGAAAGCUAGGCAACGAUAAGAAAAUGACAUAUCGUGAUAGAAUAUGGGUAAAACACGCAUGCGCAGUGCCGAAAAAGCACGGAGAAUGCACGGUAACGGAGAAUGUGAAUGGGGAAAGUAGAUUGUUGAGUGAAAAGGAUGAGCCAGAAUUGUUUUGUAAAAAUGGUGCAGCUUAACUGGUUUGGUGUUUGUCCGUCAGAUACACAACAAAGCACUUUUUUUGUAGAACAUGCAAGCGGGCCGUCGUUAUUGCCGUAUUUGUCGGACUAAGGUGCUUGUAAAGCUGGGAGUAAUCUGGGAGCUAAACUCUGUCCUUUAAAGUCCCGAAGUCAAACGAACAUCACUGAGAGUUUAAAACUGUCUAAAUUCUUUCACAUUUAAUGAAAUGAUCAGCAUUGCUACUUUUCCAGGUGUAACUAUUUAGUUUAACAUCCAGGCAUCCAUGAAAACAGAAUUCAUUACAUUUAACAGAGUUAGAAGUUAGCAGGAAGUUAGCAGAAGUUAGCUCGCUAGUUUCGCUAGUUACAUAAACAUGAUAUAGCAUGUUCUGACUGAGAGAUUUCUGAAAAAAUUCAAAUGUACAGCUCUGCUAUCACUUCCAACAUAAAUGAAGACAGGAAACUAAACAACAGUGACGUUUGUAGGGUUACUGAAGUUGGGCUAGCUGGUAUAUAAUGAUGUGCUACGUGAUCGCUAGCGACACAGCUAUGUUAGCAUAAUUUAAACAGUGAAGCUGGAGGAUGAACGCUAACUUUUAUCUGCUUGAUAAAAGUUAAUGUGAAGGUUCCUGAUGGUUAGAGACAAAUGCAAUCGCAUAGCAGGAUGCUGUAAACGGACCAAACUUCAGUCAGGAGAACAACUGAGAUAAUCCAUCCACAAUAGAAGGUUAGUCAUUAAUAUACUGCAACAACAUGGGAACAGAGCAGCUGUGAUAGAAUACAGCAUUAAUGAAUCAAUGGUACUGAAGUGGAGGAAGCAAGAAGAAUGAGUUGAAUAAAGUUUGAUUUAUCUGACUGCUUUGUUUCGCUUAAUGUGCCUUAUAAUCCCGUGCACCGUAUGGUCCGAAAAAUAUGUAUUUGACUUUUUUAUUUGGCACACUGCAGUAUAAUGUUGCAAAGCACCUCUUUUUAACUUCAGUGGAUAUUAUACAUGGUUAUGCUCAGGAUAUGUCAGCCCAUUUCUACUGGAAAUGCCUUUUGGUUAAACUUUCAGCAAGGAAUUUGCAUUUGCACUGUUAAAUGUUUAUAUAGCUUUAAUGCCUAUAAAA